UACGUAGGGGGCUAGCGUUGUCCGGAAUCAUUGGGCGUAAAGAGCGUGUAGGCGGCCCGGUAAGUCCGCUGUGAAAGUCGGGGGCUCAACCCUCGAAUGCCGGUGGAUACUGUCGGGCUAGAGUGCGGAAGAGGCGAGUGGAAUUCCUGGUGUAGCGGUGAAAUGCGCAGAUAUCAGGAGGAACACCAAUGGCGAAGGCAGCUCGCUGGGACGGUACUGACGCUGAGGCGCGAAAGCGUGGGGAGCGAACAGG
rnacentral:rRNA from 1 species